ACGAACGCUGGCGGCGUGCUUAACACAUGCAAGUCGAACGGAAAGGCCCUGCUUUUGUGGGGUGCUCGAGUGGCGAACGGGUGAGUAACACGUGAGUAACCUGCCCUUGACUUUGGGAUAACUUCAGGAAACUGGGGCUAAUACCGGAUAGGAGCUCCUGCUGCAUGGUGGGGGUUGGAAAGUUUCGGCGGUUGGGGAUGGACUCGCGGCUUAUCAGCUUGUUGGUGGGGUAGUGGCUUACCAAGGCUUUGACGGGUAGCCGGCCUGAGAGGGUAGCCGGCCACAUUGGGACUGAGAGACGGCCCAGACUCCUACGGGAGGCAGCAGUGGGGAAUAUUGCACAAUGGGCGGAAGCCUGAUGCAGCAACGCCGCGUGCGGGAUGACGGCCUUCGGGUUGUAAACCGCUUUCGCCUGUGACGAAGCGUGAGUGACGGUAAUGGGUAAAGAAGCACCGGCUAACUACGUG
rnacentral:rRNA from 1 species